rnacentral:rRNA from 1 species
CGUUGCCACCAUAUCAUAUUGGAACCAUCGGUUUUCGUCUGAUUACCGAAGUUAAGCAAGGUUGAACCCGGUUAUUACUUGCAUGAGUGACAAGCUGGGAAUACCGGCUGUUGCGGCCG